CCGAAAUCAUUUGUCAAAAUUUAAAUUUUAUAAAAUAUUCCAAUGCAAGAAGUAAUAUAGCUGACAUAAUUGGAGUAAUAUAGUGCAUAAAUAUCUCUAGCAAUUAUAUUUCUCUCUGCUCUUAUCAUUCUUGUCCACAAUUAUGUAUCAGAUAGAGAGAGCAAAGAGAAAUAUAAUUCAUCAAUUAAUAAGCUGCGGUAUUGAUAAUAAAAU
rnacentral:lncRNA from 1 species